GACUCUUAGCGGUGGAUCACUCUGCUCGUGCGUCGAUGAAGAACGCAACUAGCUGCGAGAAUUAAUGUGAAUUGCAGGACACAUUGAUCAUCGACACUUCGAACACGCUUGCGGCCCCGGGUUCUUCCCGGAGCUAUGCCUGUCUGAGCGUCG
ensembl:rRNA 5_8S_rRNA 5.8S ribosomal RNA